CACCUUGGCUGUGAAACGGGGUGUGUGUGGAGGGGUGGUGGGGAGGGGGCAGCCUGCGGGCGGGGACGUGGAGACGCGCAGGCUGGGGGCGGCGCAGGCGGGCUGAGGGGUCCUGGGCUCGCCAGGGCCUCGUCUGGGGUUAUGACUCCCGCGGGAAGCACGACUGCUUCGGAGAGUUCUCCACCGCCUUCGAGGAGAUGCAGAAAGCCUUUGGGGAGAACCAGGUGAGCGGGCCCUCCCUGCCCUGCCUGUGGGCGAGCCGGAAGCGCUGGCCCUGGGCUGGGCUGUCCCAGAAGCUGUGAUGGCUUUAGAGAGAAGACCGGUGACGACGGCGGAGAAUGAUACCCGCUGGCCCAGCAGGGGGCUGGGGUCGGGACCCCAGGCCUGUGUGGAAGCUGGAGAAACGCCCUCCAGGGCGAGGGAUUUCAGGCUCCCCCCCGGCCCCAAGGUUGGGUGUUGGGCGGUGGCGCUCGGGAUGGGGGUCUCUGCCUGUCCCUGUCCCCCCGGCCCAGUGGGACUGUGUGAACCCCAAGUACAAGCAGAAGAGGCGCAGUUACAGGAACUCGGGCGUGGUCUUGCUGGCAGACCCGAAGGUGGCCGCUGACUUCACCCUCGGAACAGCUGCUCCCUUCACUAUAUCAACUCCUUCCAGCCCAGCGAGUACCUGCAGGCCCUGGUGGCCGUGGGCGAGAUCUGCCAGGACUAUGACAGGUGCGCUGGCCUCCCCACCCCGGGCGCACCCCCGCUGUCCCCCUCACCUUCACACAGACCCAGGCUUCCGAGUCCCACUGCACAGACCAGUAAACUGGGGCUGUGGGGGCCAAGCUCCCACACCGGUGGCUCUGCCCCUUGUCUGCGUGCAUGCUGGGCAGCUCCUUUGUGGCUUUUUGCCUCAGUUUCCCCCAUGUGGCUCAGGGUGGGGCCUGGCCCCCCCAAAAGGGUCAGCCUGGUCUCCUGGUUCUGUUGAUGUCUCCCCCCCACCCCAUCCCCAGGAGACCAGGGCCCUGGGUGAUGGGGCCACCUCUCUUUCAGCGACAAGAGGCUCUCUGCUUUGGGGUUUGGAGCCCAGAUCCCUCCCAAGGAUGAGGUAGGAGGCCUGGGUCCCGGGACCCGCUGGUUGCUGCCUCCGCCCUCCCCUGGGAGUCAGCUACUGUGUGAUGGGCAGUAGACAGGGUUCAGGGACCAGCCUUCUGGCCAGAGGUCUGACCUUUGACCUCCCAGCACCAGCCCAGUGAUCCUAGGGCUGAAGAUAAGCCCUGUGGCCCUGUCCGGAGAAGGGGGACAUUAGUCCAGAAUCCUCCAGUGAGAAGGGAUUUUAGCUGGCUUAAGCAGGAACUUGGUGGGGUUUAUCAGCUAAUGAAACUCAGGAGCUUCAGGUCUGGCUGGAUCCAGGGCUGGAGCGAUGCCCAGCACUAGUCUGUCUGUCCACCCUCUGUCCCCAGUGACUCCCGCCCAUGGGCGCUCCAAACCUGCUUCCCCCAGUGGGUCAGGAUAGACUGGCUGACCGGUCCUUUCUGUGCCCGCCCAGGUGUCCCAUGACUUUGCCAUCAAUUUCAACCCGGAGGACGGUGAGUGUGAAGGUAGGAGCUCCAGGUGCCUGGACUGGGGGUGGGGUGGCAGCGAGGCCGGCUCGUGCCCUUCCCCCCGCAGGCAUCCAGGGCAUGGUGGAGGCGUCCCAGAACUGCCUGCCCAGGGUCCAGCUGUAUGGCCACCACGUGGCUCCCAUCAUCUCCAAGGUGGCCUGCACGGCUGCAGCUGAGGAACGCAGCGGAGAGGCUUCUGUAGGCGGUGGGCGGGCACUGCGGGGACCGCGUGCCUUAGAAGGUGUGCCUGCUGCUGGGGAGGUGGGACCGGAUGGGGGUUUGCAGAGGUUGACAGAGCAGCCCGCGGGAGGCCCUGAGGCAGGGAGCGAGAGGCAGCUGGGUGGCAGUGGGGCUGAGAGACCAGGAGGCCCCAGAGCCAGUGGGGUAAGGUGAAUUCUUGCCCUGGAGGCUGACUUGCCGAGCCCGCAGGCAGCCCGAUGCUUAUGGUUCUCUUGGUCCUAUUGUGCAUACGUCGUUAUUUUGUUUGCAUGUGUUCUUGUUUGGUUUUUUUGCUUUUUGAGGGUUGCACCCAAAGCAUGUGGAGGUUCCCAGGCUAGGGGUCGAAUCGGAGCUGCAGCCACCGGCCUACGCCAGAGCCACAGCAACGCGGGAUCCGAGCCGCGUCUGCAACCUACACCACAGCUCACGGCAACGCCGGAUCGUUAACCCACUGAGCAAGGGCAGGGACCGAACCCGCGACCUCACGGUUCCUAGUCGGAUUCGUGAACCACUGCACCACGACGGGAACUCCCAUACAUCGUUAUUUUGUUUGCAUGUGUUCUUGUUUGGUUUUUUUGCUUUUUGAGGGUUGCACCCAAAGCAUGUGGAGGUUCCCAGGCUAGGGGUUCAAUCGGAGCUGUAGCCACCGGCCUACGCCAGAGCCACAGCAACGCGGGAUCCGAGCCGCGUCUGCAACCUACACCACAGCUCACAGCAUCACCAGAUCCUUAACCCACCGAGCAAGAGCAGGGAUCUUGCUGCAACCUCACGGUUCCUAACUGGAUUCGUUUCCGCUGCACCAUGACAAGAACUCCUGUUUGCAUGUGUGUGUUUUUUUGUUUUUGUUUUUGUCUUUUUUAGGGCCACAUCUGCGGCAUGUGGAGGUUCCCAGGCUAGGGGUCUACUCGGAGCUACAGCUGCCGGCCUACACCAGAGCCACAGCAACGUGGGAUCCGAGCCAUGUCUGCCACCUACACCACAGCUCACGACAAUGGGGGAUCCUUAACGCACUGAGUGAGGCCAGGGAUCGAACCUGCAACCUCGUGGUUCCUAGUUGGAUUCGUUUCCGCUGCGCCAUGAUGGGAACGCCUGCGUGUGUUUUUAAUUUGCACAAAUAAUACUGAGCUAAAGGCUGCAUUCUACUCCAGUUUUCAUCCUGUUUUGUAGAUCUGCCCCUGCUGCUGUGGGCAUGGCUUCUCUGUUGCUUUCUUUCAAGUUUUUUUUUGAACAAAACCCUGAAAGAAUGGAGGGAGAGCCGGCAGCUUUGGCGCCUUCCCCGGGACCUCUCCUGUCCCUGCGUGUUCCUCUUUCCUCCUUCCCGCCGUGCGAGAGCAGGCUGACCGCCCCGGAGUCCUCCGGGUCCAUCUGCUCACAGCCAGGACCCUGUGCGCGGCCGCAGUUCGGCUCUCAGGCCCACAGUGAGGGCGGUUCCCUCCUCCCACCUCGCCCCUGCAUCUCUCUGUCCCCAUCCCAGGCCCCGCAGACCCAUGUCCCAUGUCCGGGGCCCCUGACCAGAUCGUUCCUCUCAGCCCUGCUCUGUCCUCGGGCCGCCCGUCACCGGAGCCGUGCUCACCGCUGUUGCCCCUUCACCCCGUCCCACCUCGAUGCUGCGGUUCCUGAAUGGCACCCUGGCACACGUACCAGUUUCGAGUGACUGGAUUUAGAUCCGGUGCCUUAUAGAACAUCCUGCGUCUGCCUUCGCCGCCCCAACGGUGGUUCCAUUGCACUAGGAUUUCUGGCGCAGGAAAGGGUCACGUUCGGUCAUGUCCCCGUGUUAUGCUGGAGCAAGUCUCGGACACAGAAUUUCAUUUGUAAACAUUAGCAUAAACCCUGAAAGAGAGAAAAUGGAGGCCAAUGCUUUUGUCACACCUGAAACCCAGUGACAGUUCCCCGGUGUGAGAUGUCCAGCCGCCUUGUCCACCAGCGACGGCUUUUCCAGGAGGAGAAGGGUUAAAGGUCAGGGCCUCGACCUGGCGGUGGGUGUGUCCUUCCUGCUGUGAGACCCCUGCUCCCUUGGUCCCCUGUGUAUGUCCACGAGCGCCCCCUGGAGGCUGCUGACCUUGCCCUUGGGGGCCCGCCCCUCCUGGCUCCUGCAAGG
rnacentral:lncRNA from 1 species